rnacentral:rRNA from 1 species
AAACGUAGGAGCCAAGCGUUAUCCGAAUUCACUGGGCGUAAAGCGCGUGCAGGCGGCAUGAUAAGUUGGAUGUGAAAUCUCCUGGCUCAACUGGGAGGGGACGUUCAAUACUGUCAAGCUAGAGGACGGCAGAGGGAGGUGGAAUUCCCGGUGUAGUGGUGAAAUGCGUAGAUAUCGGGAGGAACACCAGUGGCGAAAGCGGCCUUCUGGGCCGAUCCUGACGCUCAGACGCGAAAGCUAGGGGAGCGAACGGGAUUAGAAACCCCGGUAGUCCUAGCCGUAAACGAUGUAGACUUGGCGUGGGUGGUGUAAAAACCAUCUGUGCCGAAGCCAACGCGAUAAGUCUACCGCCUGGGGACUACGGCCGCAAGGUUAAA